rnacentral:lncRNA from 1 species
ACAGUAACAAAGAAUGAUACCACCACGCACGCCGUUCUUCAUUUUCAUAACCUAAGAACACCCCAGUUCUUGAACACAAAGGAGAGACCCCCGUCUUAGGGGUAUCAAGAAAAUCACAUUACUGUAUUUUCAUAACCUACUCUUAAAAUAAAUAUCGGCUGUGUUACUAUCAAAUUUGUGUAGGACUAAAUAACAUUUCUUUUUUAUUUCUUCUGUUUGGGAGGGAUAUUAGUCAUUUAUCCUUAAGUAACAAUUUCUUCCU